UUCUUUGUGUGGUAUCCUCCUCCAGAGAGUAGCAGUCAGGUACAAUUAGAUGUGAUUGACCCCACUGUGAGUGGAGUAAUAUAUGACAU
rnacentral:pre_miRNA from 1 species